GCGCGCGCGUGCACACACGUGCACACACACGAACACAUGCGCGCACCCCGCCAUCUGGGCAGCAGCACACCCCGAAGGCCCUAGGAUCUCUCAGAAGGCUGCGCCCUCAGACCCAGUGGGCGCUGUGUGGAACCAGAGGAGCUUGAAAGUAGAAAACAGGUGGCCCUUGGUCGGAGUGGCCCGGCAAUGGGGAGCAUCCCUCGUGGGCCCAGUGUCCUGCACCUUCGUUUCCUGGGUCCCUGGUAGGAGCCUGCAUGCUUGUUUGCUCUGCCAUGCCAUGGUGGUGAUGAGUGGGGCGAGGCUGCUGCAGAGAGGAGAGAAGAAAGGACAUGGAGCCUGUACCCAGGGAGCCUGUACCCAAGGCGGCAGGAGGGUGGCUGGGGACCUGCCCACCCCUGAGAAGAAAACCCACGGCCUGGAGACAUCUAUUGUAAGGAUUCUUUCUACUUUGCUUUUCCUUUCAUCAGAGGAGCUUUGA
rnacentral:lncRNA from 1 species